CAUCCUGGAAACGCAGCUGGAAGGCGUGGUUCCGGUCGCGGAGCUGGCUCGGAUGCGGAGCCGCCUCUGCCUCAACCUGGGCCUGGCGCAGGAAUCGCUGGGGAACGCCCGGGAGAGCUCCCGGCUGCUCUGGGACAGCCUCAGAUGGGCAGACACGUCGCAGUCGCCGGAGGAUC